GAUGAAGAACGUAGCAAAAUGCGAUAAGUAAUGUGAAUUGCAGAAUUCAGUGAAUCAUCGAAUCUUUGAACGCACAUUGCGCCCCUUGGUAUUCCGAGGGGCAUGCCUGUUCGAGCGUCAUUAUAACCCCUCAAGCUCAGCUUGGUGUUGGGGCCUGCCGCACGGGCAGCCCUUAAAAUCAGUGGCGGUGCCAUCUGGCUCUAAGCGUAGUAAUUCUUCUCGCUAUAGAGUCCCGGUGGAUGCUUGCCAUUAACCCCCAAUUUUCUAUGGUUGACCUCGGAUCAGGUAGGGAUACCCGCUGAACUUAAGCAUAUCAAUAAGCGGAGGA
rnacentral:misc_RNA from 1 species